UUAACUCACAUUUGUAUGGAGUUGGAACGUUUGCGUACGUUUGCCACUAGGGGCGCUGUUCCAACUGCAUACAAAUGUGAGCUA
rfam:Bombyx mori DNA, contig: Bm_scaf57_contig28204, strain: p50T/Dazao, build 2, whole genome shotgun sequence.